rnacentral:rRNA from 1 species
CCUACGGGGGGCAGCAGUGGGGAAUAUUGGGCAAUGGGCGCAACCCUGACCCAGCAACGCCGCGUGAAUGAAGAAGGCCUUCGGAUUGUAAAGUUCUUUUAUGGGGGAUGAAGACAGUGACGGUACCUCAAGAGUAAGCCACGGCUAACUACGUGCCAGCAGCCGCGGUAAUACGUAGGUGGCAAGCGUUAUCCGGAAUGACUGGGCGUAAAGGGAGCGUAGGCGGGUUAGUAAGUCGGAUGUGUAAACUCGGGGCUCAACCCCGGGGCUGCCGUUGAAACUGUUAGUCUAGAGUGCAGGAGAGGUAAGUGGAAUUCCUAGUGUAGCGGUAGAAUGCGUAGAUAUUCGGAGGAACACCAGGGGCGAAGGCGGAUUACUGGACAGUAACUGACGCUGAGGCGCGAAAGCGUGGGGAGCAAACAGGAUUAGAUACCCUAGUAGUC